UAAGACGGAGGGGGCAAGCGUUGUCCGGAAUCACUGGGCGUAAAGCGUCCGUAGGCGGUUGGAUGCGUCGGUGCUGAAAGCGCCCCGCUUAACGGGGCGAGGCGUGCCGAUACGAUCCGACUAGAGGCAGGCAGAGGGUGGCGGAAUUCCGGGUGUAGUGGUGAAAUGCGUAGAGAUCCGGAGGAACGCCUGUGGCGCAAGCGGCCACCUGGGCCUGACCUGACGCUGAGGGACGAAAGCGUGGGGAGCGAACCGG
rnacentral:rRNA from 1 species